CCUCCACUUCCCCAGGCGGAAGUCUCAGCUUUCUGUCCUCCUGACCUGCUGUGCCUGAUCCUGCGUCCGUGCCUCCCUGCCUGCUCUGCUCCUGCCUGGCACACACUUUCCCUCCCUUGUUUCUCCUUGUCCUCUGCCUGUCUGGGGACUGCUCAAGUUCUGCCUUGUCUGAGGAGCCUGCCUGGCCAGUCCAGCUUGGAGAGCCCUCCGCCCCCCUGAGCUCCUGGCCUCCCUGCCGAGAUCACGCAGGCUGGGACUCGAUUUGGAAUGCCACCUUCCACAGGGUCAGCCUUUGCUCUUCAGCUCUCUUCAUUCUAAGGCCUCACAGGAAUUACCAGUACUCAAGACUGAACUCUCCCCCGUAGCUGAAGUGACCACUGUAUUCAAGACUCUUCUGCAACGUCUGAUUCUACUCAUAAUCUCUCUGCUUGCCUGGCACGGUGAAAGAGUGCAUCGGGGUUCCAUCGCCCUGCCCCUGCCCUCCCCUCCUCUCCCGCUGCCAGCCUGUGCAGACGUCACCUCUCGCCUGGAUUGCUGCAGUGGCCUCCUCAUGAGUUACCGGAGUGCUCCUCCUCACCACCAGGUGGAUCUGGUCGCCCCUGCACAAGGCCUACAGAAGAUUUCUCCACACCCAGAUCAAAGCCCCCAUCCUCCCCAGCCUGGCGUGCACCUGUGUGUGCCUCUGUUUCUCCCAUGCUGUGGUGGGACCCCAGCCUCAUCUAGUCUCUGCAGCUAAUUCUGGGGUCUGUGGGCACAUGUGGUACCCAUCAGGGAACCAGAGGGGAGGAACCAGCUUGGCCCCGCUCCAUCUGGCAGUCGCCCACUACGCCUUCUUCCUCACCUUCCUUUCCCUGCACAGGCAGCCCAGGGCCAGGGAGACAGGUCCUUGGCUAAAUGUUGACACCGAACGACAAAAUGCCAAGUGUCAGCUUCUCCUUUUUGCAAGCACCCCUAAUCUUGAGUUAUUUUCUUGGGAUCACCUCCCUAAAGAACCACCCAUAGCGAUGUUCCAGGAUGUAUUAAGCUGUAUGACCUUGGGCAACUUACUUAACCUCUCUUUGCCUCAAUUCCCUUAUCUGUAAAGCAGGGAUAAUAAGAGUACCUACAGAGAGUUUGGGGGAAGGAUUCAUAUCCUUGGACAACCUCAGUACCUAGUAUGUUGCCUUGAGCACAGAAGAACCUCUGUAAAUAUUGUUGAAUAAUUCAUUGAUUGGCACACAAAGGCAGGACGUAAUGGAACGAAGCACGUAGGAUGGAAUUGCAGACCUGUGUGGGGUUGGGUUGGUGGUGGAAGCUGCCUAUGUGCCUGAGAAGAGACUACAGAGGUCAUCGUUUAGUCUCCUGGCUAAAAUUCUUCUGCUUCUGGUUUCUGGGCCUGUUAUUCUAUUGGCUCUCAAGUGGAACAUUGAGCAGUGGGCUGCUGGGGACUCCUUAAACCCCAAGAAGGCUCCAGAGUUCCUGGAGCAGCAAUGGGCAGAGUGGGUGGGGAUCUGGGGACAGCUAUGCUUUCUUCUGGUGCAAAGACAAGGCCCAGGCUUAGGUGAGGGGGUUGAAACUGGUAUUCUUGGAAAGCUCCAAGCUAAAUGAGCUAGGAAUGUGAAUCGUAAGAAUAAUGUGUCUCCCUAAGAGCAUGCUGGGAAACAAGCCAAUCUGGGCAGCUCAUGCUUGUUGCCAUGCAUGCAAUUGAAUUUCCCCAGAAUGCUUCAGGAACUCUAGGAGAAAGACGCUGGGGCCCUUUGAUAUGGCAAUUUAGAUCAAGUUGCAGAGACUGAAGUGUAGGUCAGAGGGAGAAAUGUGGCCAAGAACUCACCAGCAGGAGCAAUGGAGGAGAAGGUGCUUCUUGUUGGGCCUGAGGGAGCCCUGGGUGCUCCGGCUGGGUCAGCUCUCCAUGGCCGAGGGACGUGCUGGUCUCAGGGCACACAGGAGGACUGGCAGGAAGGAGCCUGCCCAGCUGAUGCUUGGGAUUCAGAAAUCCUAUCCUUCUGUGAAACAGGAUCGUGCUUGCUGUCUGUCUCUGGAGGAAGCUGGAGAGAGAGGAUCCCAUCAGGGUUGGUGGGCAGAGGGCAAGGUGCAGGGCGCCAGGGGCAAACCGGGCAAAGUGAACUCAGGAAACGGUGACCUGCUACCUUCAUGGCUGACCACACACAGAUCAGAUACUGACCCAGAGGCUGAAUUAGGUGCUGACUCAGGGGACAUUUCCUAAAAGCUAGUGAUAACAUAUAGGCCCAGAGCGGGGCGGUGGUGGGCUUGUUUCUCCCCAUCAUUGCCCCCAGCUCACAGGAGACCUUGCCCAUAAAUGGGUGAUCAAGUCGGGCGUGGUUUUCCUGGGCUUCUCGGUGCCUGAUCCCCGGCACUGAGGUUCUUACUGUGGGGCCCCAGACUCCAUCUGGGUCUCCCCCACCUUCCUGGGACAAGGGCCAGGGUGGGGCACAGCUGGGGCUUGCUUCAGUCCCAUUGGACCUGGGGGACAGAACUGGGACCUGACCAACCAGGAAAGGGUCCUUUCACCAAUGUCAAUCAGACCCCUUCAAGCUCCCUGGGAGAACCCUGGCCUGGAGGAGAGAGGAGCCCUCACCCCACAGUGCCAUGCAGGGGAAUUGCCCCAGCUCUCUGCCCUCACCAUCCUGAGGGCCUCUAUGAGAGUAACAACAAGAAGGAGAGGCAGAGAGGCGGAAUAAGACUGCAAUCUGUUAGAAGACUUGGUGUUGAGUUUUAUAUUUACUCACUGGUCACCUUGAGCAUAUCCUUUAAUCUCUCUGAGAGAACACAGCACAGUGGUUCAGCAUACGGCCUCUGGAGCCGAUUGUCUGGGUUCAAAUCCAGGCUCAGCUACUAGCUGUGUGACCUUGGGCAAUUACCUAACCUCUCUGAGCUUCCAUUUCCUCAUCUAUAAAAUGGGGAUGAGAAUAAUAGUAUAUCUGUCACAGCGUUGCUGUGAGAUUUAACUGAAUUGAUACAUAUAAAACAUAUGAACAUAUAUACAUAAAACAUAUAUACACAUAAAACAAUGCCCGGGAUGGUGAAAUAGCCUAUGGAAGUAUGGCUUGCUCUCAGGGAUCCGUGGACACACAGUGCUUUACUCCACAAGAGGCUCUUCUGGUGGGUAUUUUGGGCCGUCUUGGGAUGAUGGGUCUUUUGCUGCUCCUCAUGGGGGCUGGCUCAUUUUCCUGUGUAUGGGGCAGCCUGAUGCUUUUUGGACCUCCAUCUCAGAGGGGAGUUGGUGCCCCACAGAGCCUGGUGACUGCCCUACCGAGUCCCUGAGUCACGGCCUGAGUUCUGGCUCAGGAAGUGUUUGUGGCCCACCGUGAGUGCCCUGACCCCACCAUAGCUCAGCUCCCUGGGACAGGCAACGGGGCCAACACAAAGGUCUUUCUCCUCCACCGCUGAUGAGUCGUCAGUAAAGGACGCCCUGCCGGCUCCCUCGGCCUUUCUCCUCCUUGUUGCUGCUUCCCCUCAGGGAUGCUCAGUUGGCCUUGUCUUGUGGGGAGUGGAUGGCAG
ensembl:lncRNA